rnacentral:lncRNA from 1 species
GACGAGAUUAUUUUUCGUUGUAAGCUUUGUUCUCUGCAUUGGCGUAGAGCUUUGGCUGAUGGCAUCUUGUUCUCGGACUAGGAUUCUGUGGCUUGCUCCCCUUCCUUCCAGUAACAUCUCCGUGGACCUGCUGGCUGCGGUUGAGUGUUAAGAGAUUCCUCUGGCUCUAUUCUAGCUUUGUUUUCUGGCCAAAUUGGUGUGCUAGACCAAUGUUGUUGAAAUAUAAUACUAUAUUUGCUUUGGAAAUAUUCUCUAGGACAUAUUGGAAAGAGAAAAAGGUGCUGGUGGUUGAAUCAGAUUCAACCGUAGUUGUGCCUUGGGUGAAGAAGAUUGAGGAUUGCCCUGGGAAUUUGUGUGUUACCUUCAAUUAGAUUGAUCCACUUACUGCUGACAUUGGUGAAGCCUUCUUUGGUACCAUCUGUUGGGAAGUUAAUGGCCUUGCUGACUCUAUAGUGUGUAGAACUGGCAUGUUCAUGGCUUGGUGGUUCAGCAGGCUGUUAUUUUAUCUCCACCCUUUGGGCGCCAUUCUACCAGGCCUGUUAUUAGAGGUUUUAUGGUGUGCAUAUUUUUACGCCUUUGGGUGUUAUUUUAGUCCAGGGAGAUUGCUUGUUAUCUGUUCAUCAACCCAAUAUAUAAGAACCAACUCAAGCCGCCACAAGAAUAGUCAAGCAGUACAUCACAAGAGUCCAUAACUUUACCAGUAAGUUUUUAUAUUUUACACAUUGAUUGCAUGCUUCAUUCGUUAAGAACGAAAGAAACCAAAUGCUACCACAAGAAAGCACCUGGAGAAGCUUGUGUUUGGUUUGCUUGGGAUUAGCUGAUGGAUCCGAAUUAAAGUUAACAGAAAUAAUUUAGAAACUUUCUUCUUUCCCUUUGUAGAAACAUACAUUGGGAGAUGAAAUUGAAUCUAUAUAAGAAUAAAGCUAAUUAAGAGCCUAAGACAACCUUUCCACUCUGCAUCCCUCCUUCCCAACCCAACAACAAAUAGCAAAACUUGCAUGUUGUCAGCCAUAAGAUUAAAGCCUAGAAUUUUCUUCUUUUUUUUUUUGCUAAGCAAAAAUUUUCACUAUUGAAAAUUUAAAGUGUUAAUAAAUAUUAAAAUAUUGAUAAAAUUAUAUUUGAUUAAAUAUAAAUGAUAAUUAUGAACAAAAAUCUAUUAAUUACUCACUUGACUUUACAAAAAAUAAAUACCAAUAAACUCGUUGUUCAUUACUUCUAUACCAUAUGUGAAUAGUCGUCAAAUAGUUGAAUUAAGAUAAAGUAGCAUUAUUCGUUAAAAUUUUUCUCCAUCUCUCUCAUUUUUAUCUCUCUUCAUUUAACUUUUAUGUAUUUAUAUUAAUUUUUUUUAUUUUUAUAUAAAAUCGAGGUUCCAUGGUUUUUAAAACAAAAAGUUAAAAAAAAUCAUGAAAAAUUAUUUUGAAUAUAAAAAAGCAAUAGUAUUAGCUGUUAAAAAAAAAAAGAACAUAAUAUUAAAAUAUUCACAAAAAUAUAAUCCAAUGAAAGGAGACAAAAAGAGUAUGGUAGUCAUAGAUAUCCCUUGUACUCAUCAUCAUCUACAUUAAACAAUUGUACCUUUUAGAAGAAGGUUUUGAUGGUUUAAGAAGUUGAAAAGAGGAGUGAAUAAAAUAGUAUACAAAGAAAUUAAAAAAUUGUCUUAUGUUUGAUUAGAGUCUGUUUAUUGAAAUUAAUAAAUUAUUAUAAUAAUUAAAUAAAUAUGUUAUAUAUAAAAUAAUAAUUUGCCUAAAAAAAAAAAAGAGGACCAACUACUAAAUCAAGUAACAUUUUGUUUUUGUGGUAGUAUUUUGAAGCACAAAAUUGAAGAGGACCAAUAAUUAAAUAAACUUUGAUUGAUUUAUCUGAUAAUAAUGAAAUCUGUGAAUGCAAAAGGCUGAAAUUAAGUAAGGAAAUGCUUCAUUUGAAGGAGAGAGUAAGGAACGCAAAAAGCAAGUAAAACCCAACUCAAUUAUUAAGCUACCCUCACGUACUUCUUUAAGUUUCACACAGCAAAAAUACAUCUCUUUUCCACAUACGCACUUCAAUCUCCAAUCUCCAUUUUUCAUUUCUCUCUUUCUUUCUUGAGCGAAAGGGGAGACUGCUCUCACAGCUUUCUUUGAUGGGCUGUUUGGCAAAUUAUCCUCUCCUGAUUUCCUCAACUUUGUCACCGGAAAGCAGGAGUGCUUUUUAAAUAAUAUCAUGCAUAAUUUUGUUGAUUGUAUAAUUUCAUAUCGGGUUAGAAAAUUUACAAUUUGAAUUAAAUAAGAAUUCGUAAUCGACACAUUGUGUCCAGUACUUUUAUGUGCUUGUUUAUAGAUUACAACUAGGUAGUCAAAUCAUUAAAAUUAACAUUUAUUAAAUGAAGAUAAAAAAAAUAAAUAAGGAUCAUUCAGCCUAACGGAUAUACCUGUUUCAGCUGAGCAUUUCAUGCAUGAAUACUUUUCAUUUUUUAAUGAAAGUAGUAAUACAAUAUUUACAUUGCUCUACAAUUGUUACAUAAAUAAACCAAUAUUUUCAUUGGCAGAAAUAUUACAUUUGGUUAUUUUUCUACAUUUCUAUUUCUUAAUUCUUUUCUUGGAUUAUUAUUCAUUGCAUAGGCAGUAUAUAUAUAUAUAUAUAUUUAAAAUGAAAAUAAUGAACUAUUUAAUUAUUAAAUAAAUAUGUAAAAAUUUUAAACUCACUUGUAGAAUUUAAAAAAAAUUCACUAUCACUUUACAAAAUGAUAAUCUAUUUUUUCAUAAAACCAAACAAACUCAUCACUUUAAUUUUUUCAUUCUCUUUUUUUUUUUUUGCUAUAUUGUUAUACUUGUAGGUUUACUCACAUUUUUCAAGUACUUAAAUUUAUUUAUCAUAUGAAUAAUUUUAAAACAUUUUUUAUUAGAAAAUAAAUAUAGCUAGGGUUUGGGAAAGUAAGAGGCAAGCAGCAUGGUUUAGGAAAGAUAGCAACCAAAAGAAAUAUUAUCGGGUUUAGGGUAUCCUAUGGGUGAUACUCGAAAUCUACUCAAACCCGAAUUGAGUAUUAAAAACCUUAUUCAAAGUUGCUUUAUUACCGAAUAGAGGGUAUCCAAAUCUUUUGUUAUCAAGUCAGAUACUUAUGGAUACUAUAUAAUAGUUACCUGCUACAUCCCUAAGUUAGACUUCACAGUUGCUUUAGGAAACUAUUUGUUGUAUGUGCUUGUACCAAAAGGAAUAAACAAGCUAUUUUACUAUAAAUAACAGUAGGACCACCAUAGCAAAAUAGAAAAUUAAAAAAAAGGAGAAUUGCAAGUAAAUAAAAAAAUUUCCACACACUAACUUUAAAGUUUUAAAAUUAUAUAAACAAAUUAAAAAAUUUUCUUAUGUUUGACUAGAGUAUGUUUAUUGAAAUUAAUAGAUUCUUAUAAUAAUGAAAUAAAAUAUGUGAUAUAUAAAAUGAAAAUUUGCAAAAAAAAGAGGACCUACGAUUAAAUCAAAAUUUGAACCAAAAUGAACCCACCACCACUAGCUUUGGUUAGUGCCCGGUUGACCUUUAUUUUCCGCCACAGUGUAAAUUUUUGGGAAAAAGGCUUACCUUUCGGGUUCUUUUUGGUAACAAGAAGCCUUAACUUUCUUUCCCUUUUGUCUUCUAUUAAUCUAAUUAGAAUCUUUUUUAUUGUACCAAAAAUUCUUCUUUUCACCUUUCCUUUUGCUUUCUCCAAGACCGUGUGGGUUCCAUCCACAAAGAAGAAUUAAUUAACCAAGUACAGAAAGAUAAAAAAGAAAGAAUUUAAAGAGUUAAAUUGAAGAGGACCAAUAAUUAAAUAAAGUUUGAUUGAUUUCUUUGAUAAUAAUGAAAUCUGUUAAUGCCAAAAGGUUGAAAUUAAGUAAGGAAAUGCUUCAUUUGAAGGAGAGAGUAAGGAAAGAAGAAGCAAGGAAAGCCCUGGAAAGAUGUAACAAAAUUAAGAGAGCAAUGAAUGAAGGGAUUAAUGAAUACUUAAAUACUCACCUAAUGAUUUGUGAAUUUGUCUAAUAAAUUUUUAAUUGUUUCCAAAAGGACAGGAAUAGUUGUGGUCAAAUUAUUGGAACACGUAGCCUUGCUCUUUCUUCAACUUGGUUUUGCCUUUAUUCACGGGAGAAACAAAUCCAUUUCGCCCAUGCAUGCAGAACAAGAAUAUGAUUCAAAACACUAACAUGGCUAUACUGACCCACACUACCCGAAAUGGUCCAAUUCCCCAAAAGAAGAAGAAUCUUUUAGAGUUCGAUGACUGCUUUAUUGAAAGUGGGAAUUUGCUUUCGGUGACUCACGGCCAGUUUCUUCCUUGUCUUUUUCCAUCGGUACCGCUGGCUCCAACAAACCACAUGGGGUCAUUCUUCGAAAGAGAAGUCGACGACUCCAAGUCAAUACCCACCUCAAUAAGCUGUUUGGUAAAAAGAACAAGAAUCUUGUAAAGCUCGAUUACUGCUUGAUUGAAAGUAGAAUUUGCUUUGGGUGACUCAUUGCUAGUUUUUUCCUUGUCUUUUUCCAUCACUACCAGUGGCCUCUAAGAAACUACAUGGGGUCUUUCUUCGAAUGAGAAUUCGACGACUCCAAGUCAAUACCUUACUCAAUUGUUAAGCUACCCUCACAAACUCCUUUAACUUUCACACAGCAAAAUACAUCUCUUUUCCACAUACGCACUUCAAUCUCCAUUUUUGAUUUCUCUCUUUCUUUCCUGAGCAAAACAAUCAUGUCUGUUGUUGGGGAGGCCGCUCUCACAGCUUUCUUUGAUGGGUUGUUUGGCAAGUUAUCCUCUUCUGAUUUCCUCAACUUUGUCACUGAAAAGCAGAUCCGCAAGGAGCUCAACGAGUGGGAAAAGAUGCUGCGGGAUAUCCGUGCCGUGCUUGAUGAUGCAGAGGGGAAGCAGAUGAAGGAUCAGUAUGUGAAGAACUGGUUGGCCGAUCUUCAAGACUUGGCUUACGAUGUCGAUGACAUUUUGGACGAGUUUGCCACUGAAGCUUUGAGGCGCAAGCUGACAUCCUUUGAGGAAGGCAUCAAAAAUAAGGUACAAAAGAUCAUUCCUACUCGUUUCUCUCCAAAAACUUUCAUGUUUAAUAAGAAGAUGGUGUCCAAGAUUAAAGAGAUCAGUGCUAGAAUAAAUGAUUUGGCCACAAAAAGAACUCAAUUGGAAUUGCGAGGCAUUAAUGAGGGAUCAAGGUCCGAUAGAAUGAUACAAAGGCUUCAGCCUACUUCUUUGGUGGAUGAAACUCAGGUGUACGGUAGGCAAGAAGAAAAGGCAGCAUUACUUGAAUUGCUUUUGAGCAAUGAUGGCACUGACAAUGAAGCUUCUGUGAUUCCCAUCAUUGGCAUGGGAGGAAUUGGCAAGACAACUCUUGCACAACUUCUCUACAAUGAUACUCGUAUAGAGAAUUCUUUCGAGUACAAGGCAUGGGUAUGCGUUUCUGAAGAUUUUGAUGCCGUUGGCAUAACAAAGAGAAUUCUACGGUCAAUCACUCCUGGUUGUUGUACCGAUGACAAUGAUCUCAAUUUACUUCAAGUCGAGUUGAAGAAGAUGCUGGCCGGGAAAAAGCUUUUGCUUGUCCUGGAUGACAUCUGGAACGAUAAUUAUCUGGAGCUGACCAACCUACUCUCUCCAUUUGGAGUUGGAACCAAAAUUCUCGUCACAACACGGAGUCACGAUGUUUCUUCUAUUAUGGGCACUGUUGAAGCUUACCCACUACAACAGUUAUCAGAGGAGGAUUGUCUAUCUGUAUUUUCUCAGCAUGCAUUAAGAGCAAAUGAUUUUAGUGGGCAUCCUGAAUUAAAAGAAGUUGGGGAAAUUAUAGUGAAAAAGUGCAACGGCUUACCUUUGGCAGCUAAAGCCAUCGGUGGUUUACUACGCACUAGACUGGACUAUGAGGCAUGGAAAGGUAUAUCAGAAAGCGAGAUAUGGGGCAUACCAGAAGAGAAAUGUAGCAUAAUUCCUGCUUUACGAUUGAGCUAUCAUCAUCUUCCUUCACAUUUGAAACGAUGCUUCGGAUAUUGCUCUAUACUCCAUAAGGAUUAUGAAUUCGGGGAGGAGGAGAUAAUCUUGUUAUGGAAAGCAGAAGGUUUUCUACAACCAGCAAGCCCUGGAACUCAACUCGAAGUUCUAGGUAGUCAAUAUUUUCGAGAUCUAGUAUCAAGGUCAUUUUUUCAAACAUCUACUAGGAACAAGUCUCGAUUUGUAAUGCAUGAUCUUGUCAAUGAUCUGGCUCAAGCGGUUGCAAGGGAAAUAUGCUCCAAAUUGGAGAAUGAUAAACAGUUGAGAUUUUCGGAAGGUACUCGACAUUCAUCUUAUGUUUGUGGUGAGUUUGAUGGAAUGAAAAAGUUUGAAGCCUUCAAUCGAACAAAGCAUUUACGAACCUUUCUACCGUUGUCUGGAUCGUCGUGGGCAUGCGAAGGUAAUUGUUAUCUAAGUAACAAUGUUCUCGUUGAUUUGCUGCCCAAACUUCGAUGCUUAAGAGUUCUUUCUUUGAAAGGGUAUCACAUCAUUGAGUUACCAAACUUUUUUCAAAACUUAAUACAUUUGCGCUACUUGGACUUUUCUCAUACUAGAAUUACAAGCUUGCCUGAUUCAACCUGCACCCUUUAUAAUUUAGAAACUUUACUAUUAUAUGGGUGUAGAUUGCUUCAAAAUCUACCCUCAAAUUUACAAAUUCUAGUCAAUUUGCAUGUUCUCGACAUCACUGAUACGUCUUCAAUGAAAGGGAUGCCGUUUGGAAUUGGUAACUUAACCAAUCUUCAAAGAUUAUCUGAUUUUGUUUUAGGCAAAGGUGAUGGAUAUCAUAUACAAGAGAUGAAGAAUUUGUUAAAUCUCAAAGGUAAGCUUUGUAUCUCAGGGUUAGAGAACAUUGUUAAUGCUCAAGAUGCAUGGGAGGCUAAGUUAAUAUAUAAGUCAGGCCUUGGCGCAUUAGAACUAAAGUGGAGCAGAGAAUUUGAUAAUAAUAGAAAUAAAGAAGUUGAAGAAGAGGUGUUGAAUUUGCUUGAACCUCAUAAAAAGCUUGAAGAGCUCUUCAUCCAGGAUUAUGGUGGUACAAAAUUUCCGAUUUGGAUGAAUUUUUCAUUACAAAAUUUGUCGUCUUUGGUUCUCAAGGGUUGUAAAAAUUGUGUAUCACUGCCAUCACUUGGAAAAUUACCGUUACUGAAGAAGCUUUCUAUUGUUGGAAUGGAUGAGUUAAAUAAGGUUGGCAUUGAGUUCUAUGGGGAGAAUCAAUCAAACGCAUUUGCUUCGUUACAGAGUUUGAGCUUUGAGCAUAUGCCAAGAUGGAAGGAAUGGGACUUGGUUGAUGAGCAAGGUGUGAAAUUCCCUAGCCUCGUCGAGCUUUGCAUCAGUGACUGCCCUCAAUUGUUGGGAACGUUGCCUAACCGUCUUCAUUCCUUAAAGAAGCUCGCAAUAAGGUUCUGUAGACAAUUGGUAGUUUCACUUUCAAACCUUCCAAAGCUGUCUAAAUUGCAAAUAUGUGAGUGUGCGGAGUUGGUGCUGAGAGAUGAUGCAGACUUUCUCUCAAUAAAAGAAGUCCGUCUUUCAAACAUUGGAAAGUUUUCUACUCCAACGGAAAGGCUGGUAUCAACAUCAACAACAUUGAAGCAUUGUGAUCUUCCUGAUUGUGAGGGAUUGACAUAUUUAUCGCUAAAGAUGUUGGGACUGUUGGGAUCUGUCCGUAAAUUGGAAAUUUUUGAAUGUCCACAACUUGUGUUGUUAGAGCCAGAUGAGGUAGAGGAGGCAGAAGAGGAGCUGUUUCAAGUUGGGAAUCUUUGCAAUAUUGAAUCUUUGAGAAUAUGGGAAGCUGGUGUCCAGAUGGACUCUUUGAGAAUAAGAAAGCAUUUUCUCCCAUUUCUUACAGAGAUGGAAAUUGAAGAUUGCCCAAACAUAGUUUGUUUUGCAAAGAACAACUUACCCCCGCUUUUGAAAAAGUUGGAGAUUGCAAAUUGCAAGAAUUUGCGAUGUUUGGUGGAUGAAGGAGAAAAUAUAAGCAUCACUAACAUAUCUCUUCUUGAGCAUUUGAAUAUUAUUCGCUGUCCAUCUCUAAUAUCAUUAUCAUUACCUGUUAAGCUUCGACGUCUUUAUCUUCGGGGUUGCUUAAAGCUAGCUUCCUUAUCAGAAAGUGGCAAGUUACCCAUAGGGCUUAAAGGGCUUUACCUUUCUUUCUGCCCAGAGCUCGAAUCCAUUGCAGAAGUAAUUGACGAAAAUGCUUGUCUUGAAUCUAUUAGCUUCUGCAAUUGUGGUAUUAAAUCUUUACCGCAAGGAUUAGACAAGCUCAACCAUCUUCGGAGUAUUGAAAUAAAUAGAUGUUCAAAUCUAGUCUCGUUGGAAGGGUUUUUGCCCACCACCAAUUUGACUAACCUUUGGAUCUCUGAAUGUGAAAAUUUGCGAGCCCUGCCCAAUUGCAUGCCCAACCUCACGUCUCUUCGAGAAUUGACGGUUUGGAAUAAGUCAGGUGAUCAGAUAUCCAUUCCAGAAGAGGGUAUCUCUGCCAACCUCACAUCACUUAAAAUCUCAGUACCAAGAAAUUAUGAGUCUCUAAUUAAGUGGGGAUUGCAUAGACUCACCUCUCUUAAAACACUUGAUAUUUCUGGGAGAGGAUGUCCGAAUAUGGUGGCGUUCCCACCAGAGGAGAUAGGAAUGAUGCUGCCUCCCGCUCUCAUGAAAUUGAGCAUUAAAAAUUUCAAAAAUUUGAAAUGCCUAUCCUCCAAAGGCUUUCGAAACCUAACCUCUCUUCAUCAUUUGUCCAUCUCCUCUUGCCCUAAGCUCACAUUUCUUCCUGAAAAAGACAUGCUUCUCUCACUUUUGAAGUUAUGCAUUGGAGAUUGUCCAUUGCUAGAGGAAAAGUGCAAAAGGGGCAAAGGACGAGAGUGGUCCAAGAUAGCCCACUUACCUUGCAUUAAAAUUGAUGUGUGAUAGUAAAGCGAAAGUCACAGGUAUGAAACCAUUUGAAACCUACGAUAAUUUAGAAGCUUCUUAUUUUUAACAACAAAAUGAAACUAAUUAUACCUUUUUUUGUCAAUGAUUAUUUGCAGGCAGUUUAAAAGCUUUAGAAGGAAACUUGGUGGGAAACUAGGCUUCCCACCUUUUCAUCUAAAUGGCAGAAUCAGUGUGUAAUUAAUUGUUGGUUAGUAGACUCAAGCACAUACAACUCCAACAGUCUACAGGACCCAACUGCUUUUUCUUCAACUUCAUCAUUGAUUUCGUUUUUUUUUUUCAGACAUAUGAAAAUGCUGCAGAGGCUGACGAAUGGAGCGGUUAGUUAAUUCUCUGCAACCUUCAUCUACAUUUUUAGGGUUUGAUAACGAUUUGAUAUUCUAAUAAAAUACUAUUGAGUUUUCUUCAUUUCUAUUAUGAUGAAUUUGCUGUAUUUUUUACAAUUUCAAACUAUGCCAAUUAUACUUUACUUGCCUAUACCUAGAGUACAUCCUUCACUUUAUUCUUUUAAUUUCACAUCAUUCUCAUUUGAUCUUUGUGUAACAAUUUCUCAUACUCCAAUCUAUCUUACUUUUCUUAAUUUUUUGGAGGAACUGCUUUAUAAAGAAAAGAACUGAAAACAGAGGAAAGGAAUGUAAGAUUGGAUAUAUGUAGGUUAGAUGCUGCAUUUAAUUCGGUAACAAACUUUAAUUUUCUGCAUGUCUUAUGCUUGUGUGAAUAACAUAUUACUAAUUAUCUGGACAGAAAAGGAAAUAGGUAUUAGAUCUCACAAGGAAACUUGGAAAAAAUUCAGUGAAUAGAUAUACAACGUCCUAUUCAAAUAGUUGAUUAAAUUUUGAAUGAUAAUGAAGUGUUCAUUAAUUGUACAGGCAGAAACCUGAACAAGAAUCUGAAUAAGGGAAGAAUGAAUUCUGGCCUUCAAAGGUAAUUUGUUGACCUAAUAAUCAAUACAAUUAAACGGUGGCAUGCCAUUAGGCAACAAUGAGACAAUCCUUCCUAAGCAAACCAUUUUAUGUAUCACUUUUAAAAGUUUGAGUUGGAACUCUCUCUAACCUUCAUUCUCAACUUCCAGAUAAUCUAGGCACUUAGGGAUGCGUUUGAUGUGCACUUAAAAAGAAGGAUAGGAUUGCAAAUAGAAAUUUUAGAACUGGUGAAGUGGUCAUUGUUGCAUGCCAGUGAAAAACAAAACUUUACCUGACUUCUUAUGCACCCUUUGCAAUUUAGACACCUUGCUAUUAAAGCAAUGUCACGAGUUAGAAAAGUCAACCUGAAAAAUAGAAAUUCUAGUCAAAUUGCAUCAUCUUGACAUUAGUCAUACAAAUUCAGUGAAAGCAAUGCCCUUUGGAAUUGGUAGACUAACCAAUCUUUAAAAACUGUCUUAUUUUGUUUUGGGUGAAGGUGGUGGAUAUCAGAUAUGAGAGAUGAAGAAUUUGCGGAAUCUCAAGGGUGAGAUUUCUAUUUUAGGGUUGCAGAGCAUUGUUAAAGCUCAAGAUGCAUGAGAAGCUAAAUUGAUUGAUACUUGGGCCUCAAUGAGUUAGAAGUGGAUUGCAACUUUUGACAACAAUGCAAGAAAUAGAGAAGUUGAAGAAGUGGUGUUGAACUCGUUGAAUUAUGGCUGUCUUUGCUGCAUUGCUGCCACAGGGGAUUAGUUUCUACACAUUUGGAAACCAGCUUGGUUGGAUUUAGGGUCAGUUUACUUUUUGCUCACCAAAUGUUUGAUUAUUUCUUUGGUCAUUUGUACACUUGCCAGUUUGUGUUUCUUAGUUAUAUUUGACUUUUGGAAUCUGUCACCAUGCCUUCUAAUGACAGUUUGUGCAGCAUUAGUUGAAAUAUUUUAUGUUUAGUCUAUUUUUAGAAGCAAUGUAUCAGAUAGUGUGAUCAGUUGAAGAUAUUUUUGUUCACUCUCUUGAUUAUAUAAAUAUGUAUUCUCCUAAUGAAAAGUGAUGUAUGAAGAGUUGAAGUUCUGGCCUUUUUUGAGUUUUGUUUUUCCUCUUUGUUUUUCCAGCAAACUUUGGUCUCUUCAUCGAGAGUUUAGUAUGCAGAUCUUUAAGUUUUUUUUAUCCAGCAGAAACCAAGGAUAACAUUUCUUUUAUCUGUAUCUGCCCAUACUCAAUACCAAGGAUAACACUUGUUUUUCUCUGUCUGUCUGUCCGCACAAAACCAAGAAUAACACCUUAUUUCCUUGGUACAAACUCUUUCAAAUUUACAACAGCAGAAACAAAAGGUUUUUGCUUCUGCCUUCAGCUGCUACUCCUUGGGUAGCCUUGGACAAGUAAUGUGAGUAGCCACUAAAGCCAAGAGAACUGUUAGAAAAGUGAUCUUUAUUUGGUUGAUGAAAAGCUGAGUUGGUUGUUGAGGAGGAGAAAACCAGAUGGCGGGUUGCAACGGUAACUUGAAGUUCUGAAGUAGCUGUUGGCGUCAAAACGCAGUAAGCAGGAGUUGUUUUUUACUUUACUGAAUUUUUUGUUAAUGAAACGUUGCAGGAGUGUGUCGUUUUACUUAGUCUUCUGUUAUGCCGUUACUCAUACGAUGUCGUUUAGUAUUUCUUGUAAGGCUUUAAGCCAAGUUUGGUUCAGUUUGUUUUUCUGUUGCUUGGCACUGGUUUUCAUGGUGAAUGCUGAGCCAAGUUUUAGGCUCAAUUCAUUUGUUUGAAAAUCGUUGCUACAUUUUAGGAUCCAGAAAGUUUGAAUUUUAAAAUUCCUCAUAUAAAUACUGAAAAAUGUAUUGAGCGGGUGGUUAAAUUCCAGAAUAUUUUUCUACUCUGUUCGGAAAAGCUUAUUCUUCUCUUUUCUCUGCUGUUUCUUCCUUAAUUCUCUGGAAUUCCUAAACACUUAGUAAUUCUAGCAAGAACUUUCUUGGUCGUCAUAAAGAGCUAAAAGAAGCUCACCAUAAAAAAUUAUGGGACUACCAAAUUUCCAGCUUGGAUAGUAAAUUCUUCAUUACAAAAUUUAUUGUCCUUGAAUCUCAUGAAUUGUAAAAUUGCAGAUCAUACCGGCAAUUAGAAAAUGAUCACUGUUGGAAUCUCUUUGCAUUGAAGGAAUGGUUAGGGUGAAUAACAUUUGUGAAGCAAUUGGGAUCGCUUGGGAGCCUAAUGUCUGUCCCUUGGCUGAGAAUUUUGCAUUGUUCACAACUUGUACUUGUAUCAUUAGAGCCAGAGGAAGCAGAAGAGGAGUAUUUGCAACUCGACAGGCUUUGCAAGUUUGAAUGCCUAACAAUUACGAAAUGUGAAUGACUUCAAAGGCUACCAAAGGUCUCGCAUUUGGUCAUGUUCCUUGCAGAUAUACAGAUUGCCAGUGCCCAAGAAUGGUUUCUGUUUUAACGAAUGACCUACCUCCGACUUGAAGAAGAUUGACGAUUGAAGAUUGCAAGAAUUUACCAUGUUUGGUGGAUGAAGAAGAAGAUACUAGCAGAACUUCACCUCUCUCAAGGCAUUGACGUUGGUUGGCUGUUCAGCUGACAUAUCCUUUCUAGAAUAGGUUUUCCCUACCAACUUAGCAUCACUUGACAUCACAGCACCUGCAUAGACUCAGCUUUCUAAAAAACUGUCUAUUAAUGGUGAAGAAUGUCUAGAAGUGGUUUUGUUUCCACAAUAGGAGAUAGGAAUGAUACUGCCUCCCCCUCUCAGCGAUAUCACCAUAAUUUUGAAAACCUGAAAUAUCUAUUCUCCAAGGGCUUUCAAAGCCUCCCCAUCUGGUAGUCUUCAGAGAUCAGUGAUUUCUCUAAGCUCACAUCUCUUCCAUUAAGAGACAUGCUUCUCUUGCUUGGUCAUCUUCAGAUUGAUGAUUGUCCUUUGCUAGAAGAACGAUGCAAAAGGGAUAAAGGACAUAUCUUAUGUUCAAAUCAAUAAUGAACAAAAUUAUCCCAAAGAAGUUGAAAUCUCGAAAUUGAAAGCAAAAGGUAUUAAACCAUUUCAAAGAUAGGCCAGAUAAUUGAAUUCUGAUUAUCGUUCAUUUAAUUUUUGUUAGAUAUAUAACAUAAUAGUCAUUUUGAUAUGUUAUUGUUGAUAAUUAAUUUACAGCCACAUUUCAGGAUUGAAAGCUACAAAGUGUAGUUGGUAUAUAUAGCUCCAUUCAAAGAUCAGGUACAAGCUUCUCAUUUUUUUCCUAUUUCACUUGCAAUUAAACAUAGCAUGCUCAUCAAUCUGCAACAUUUAACCAUUAAAACACUUAUGCUUCUCUAACUUCAGAUAUCUCAAAAAACCUCUUGCCGUGAAUUUGCUGAUUCGUCAUUUAGACUUAUGAAACUGUUAAAAAGAUCAAGGAUGAAGGUGAGUUGAUUUUCCGCUGCUUUUAUAUGUCAUGUACAUUCCCAUUAAAAGAAAUGUCAUGUACAUUAAAGAAUGGAAAAGUGAUUGUUAGAGUACAUAAGCAGUUUCAUGGACAAAAUUGGGUUUUAAUUUGGUAAAUUACAUAUAUACUUGCCUUGUGAAAUUGUUAGUUGUUUAUACAGAAGCAUAUUUGUUUUGAUUUCAAGAGAUUUCCAUUUUGUUAAAGAAAAUCCAAGUCUCUCUUUCCUUUUCUAUGUUAUCAACUUUCUUUAUACCAUGCCAAUUAUGCUUCCCUUGAGUAUGUUGAACAGUGAACUAAUUUCUUUUCUUUUAGUAUUAUAAUGUUCUUGUAUUUAGUUUUUUGCUUUCUGAGUUCGUAGAGACAAUGUAGAGGAAGCAAAUAAAUUUCAUCCAUAAAAUUCUAAUGUUGUAUUGGAUUUUCCAUCUUAGAGGAGUGUGUCCCCACCAACUGAAUGUUACUUUGGAUCUCUGCUGCUAAAAUCUGUAUACCAUUAUUACAUCGGGGAGUGCGUAUACAAAUCUGUCAUGGACAACUUCCCAUUGGUGGUACUGAUGCAGCCGACCAACUUUCAAACUUUCCUUGUCAUCGGGAAGUUCCCAAUUUGGAAUAGUAGCACUACAAGAGCUUUCAGAACCUCUCCUUGCUCAAAGGUUUUUAUGCUUAAUUGCCUUGAUCUAUAAAAAAAAAGGGAUAAAAAAUGAAGUGGGUAAAGAUAUCUCCUGUGCCUCAUGUAUUAAUAACAGAUUACUUAUUAGUUAGAACAGGAACAGUGAAAACUAGUUGUUUUUCAUAGAAAAGGAGCGAAAAAGGCAGAACAAAUAUUGCUCGUAAAUUCAAUCCUUGUUAUGUCAAUGAGAAAAUCUUUUCUCCUUUUCCUCUUUGAACAAUUAAUUAAAACUUGUAUGAUCACCAAGUGUUGAUUUUCUUGUACAUACAGAAGUCUGAACAUGAUUAGGAAACACUGAGGAUGAAUUCAGCAUCCAGUUGUAAUCUAUUGGCCAUAAAAUCAAUGCAAUGCAGAGGUGAGCUUUUAUAUAUUGGACUACAUUAAGAUAAUAUGCCUCACCAAUGGAAACAAUCCCUCCUUCUAAAUGAUCUAUGCCUGUAUAAUUCUAUUUUUGUAUUCAAUUUCCAUUAGCAGUCACAUAUUAAUGUUUCCACACCCGCUGAAUAUUACUUAUUAGCCACAGAAGGGAAAAAGGGUGAAAAUUAUAGAAACUACCAUGCUUGUAGAUAUAUGGUAUGUCAAUUGGAAAAUCCUCCCUUUCUUUUUGCACUGUGAUCAUAGUUAAUUAAAGUUUAUAUAUUAACCAAGUAUUAGUCUAGUUGUACAUGCAGAAAUCUGAGCAUUAGUAGAAAGAACCAAUGAUGAAAUUUAACCUCCAGUUGUAAUCUAUUGACUAUAUAAUCAAUUCAAAGCAAAGGUGAGCUUUUAUUAGGCUACCUUAAGAUAAUAUGCCUCACCAAUGGAACAUCCCUUAUGCUAAAUAAUCUUAUGCAUAUCAAUUCCAAAGUUUCAGGUUGGAGCUAUUAGUUACUCAUCUUCAUUCUCAAAACUGUGACCCUCAUUCACAAUAGGUUUAAGCAGAUGAUCCCUGAUUGAAACUAAAUCGCAUUUCUCAAGUAUUGUGUAGAAUUAUUUUUUCACACCAGAACUGUUUUACAACUUGGCACACAGAGAUGCAAAGAGCUCAUGUAACAGCUUCCAUGGCUCUUCAUGCCCCACUUUUUCUGCUUCUAAUAUUAAACAUUUACCAUACCCUGCAUGUUGGUUCUUCAGCCUUCAGCACUCAUCUCUCUUUGUCAAUCCCAGUGAAUCUUCAAUGCCUCCACAUGAAGCAAAAUGUGUCACUAGUGGCAGCACCCGGUAACAUACAUCGUUGCAACAUGUCACCACCAAAAGAGCGAUUGAUGUCAUUGACAGUCAAGGUUUUCUUUUCUAAUACUAUGAAUCAGUUGGGUAAGAGUAAGUUUUUAGAAAAUUUGCUUCAUUUAUCAUUUCUCUUUGCAAAAAAACUUGUUAAAAUUCAUCAGUAGUAUCAUGACUAAUAGAUUCACACCGAUCCUGUAAUAAAUUUCAUAGAUAGACUUUGUAAUGUGCCAUACACUAGUUGAGCUUUCAGUUUUCUUUUUUCUUUUUCAUUAUUAUGCUCUUUAAAGUUUGUAUACUAUUGCAUUGGACCUUCAGAAAGGAUUAAUUUUCUUGUGCUUUUGAAUUGAGAUUAUGAGAUGUAUAAUAGAUUCAAGCUAAAUGUUAAUCUCUUUUUCCUACUCUUCCUCCUUUCUCCGUGUCCUCUUCUUUGGCAAAUAAAGAGAUCCACCAGAGUUCAAUACAAGAAAGGAACUGAAAAUUUUUAUGGCUUUCCUCUGAUGAUGUUAAGCCAUAAGCUUCCACCCAUUGCAGCAUGAGCAGGCCUUAAAUCUUCUUUUCUUGCUGAUAGCAAUCUAACUUCUCUGUUACUUGACUGUGGCCAUGCUUAAAAUUUCUGCAGAUGAAAACACAUUUUUUCCUUUUGUUGGAUAUGUGCAGUGCAUGCCUUCAUUUUUUCAGAAGGUGUUUGUCUUUGUUAUCAAUUGGGCCAAAAAGGAGUGUUACAAUGGUAGACGAUAGUUUUUACACAAGAGUUCUACCAAUGUUUUUCUCUGUUGGUGCCUCAUCCUUAGUUCCUUGUAAGUCUCACGAAUGGCUGGGAAUAGGUAUGUUGUUUUAUUGUUUUUUGACUAAAAUUGCAACUCGAUGUCAUAGCCUUGCCCCUGAGAUAGAAUGUUACACAAGGGUUCCACAUUCUGAAGCCAUCCUUUUGUGAAACUUCAUGCGCAGCAUCAACGGUGCAUAAAAGAUAUUAAAAAAUAUAAAUAGGGUCACAAACUCCGACAUUUUGAAGCCCUUUUUCUUCUAGUGCAUGCCAGAACCAAAGAAGCUGAAGAUCAAGUUUCCUACUAGUUUAGUGUCAAUUUUUUAUGUUAAUAGUUAUUCUGUUUUUUCUUCUUGGUAUUUUGCAUACAUUCAUUAUUAUUGACAAUUUAUUAUUGGGAAUUACUCAUGUGUGUUCUGGCUGUUUUCAUAAUAGCUCCAGCUUCCAAAAUGUGAAAUUGAAAAGCAAACUGCUUCAAAUUGUUCGUAUUUGCAGUUUUGUAAAACUUCUUUUUUCUUUUAAUUCCUUUUGUGCUUCAGCAUUUAUAGGUUCUUUUGGCUGUUUUGAAUGGGACUGAGCUGAUGGAGGCUGUCAUAAUGAUAUACCUAUUGAGGAGAUCAAAGCCAAUGUGGCAGGAUUCUGUCAAGAAGAGGCUUUGCUUCGAUGCCUGUGACAGUGCCAAGAUUGUUGCUGAUGCUGUUAUCUCUGAUUUCAAUGAAGUCCUGGAGGCUGUAAGUGCCUCUCUCUAUUUUCAUGUUACUUGUGUUUCUAAUCCCAUUUUUUGUUGUUUGAGCUUGGGAUUUACUUCUUUUAUAGUUUUCCUUUAAUUAUGUUGGUAAAACAGUUCCUUUUUUAUGUUUCAUAGCUCUUUUCUUUCUUAUUUUGCUUGAAUUUGAAAUUUAGACCGAUGGAUUUUUUCAACCUGAUAUUUUUUUGUGAAAGAAAUGUCAAUAUUAUAUAAAGAAAAUAGGAUUUGAAAGUUUGCAUCAUGAACAUGGAUAACGGAUGUGGGCAUGAUAACUUGUCAAGUCACCAUUAUAAAAUUCUUGAAAACAUCGUGAUUUGUGACCAGGCUGCCAUUGUUGGGAUUUUUGUUAUUGUGGAUUAUGGUGAUGAUUAAAGUCAUAACUAUGGCAAUUUUUUCCAUUAGGUUGCUCGUUAUCCAUCAUUUUAUGGAGCAAUUGAUGGGUUGUGCAACAACUACUGAGGCAAGACUAAAGCAGAAUGGAUUGUUGUGACAAAUUAUUGACCUGGCACUAACGUGGAGUUUUCUGCAGCACUAAUUCAUGGGAUAUAAAACACUGAUGAAGUCUCUAGGCCACUUGUACCUACUUUCACUGCAUUAUUUUUCUUAUACAUUCUUUUGGGGAAAUGAAAAGGGGGUGAGAGGGGGGAUGCUAAUUGGUAUAUCAAUAAAGUUUAUCACUGUUUGCUACAGGAUACUUAUUUGCGUUCAGGUGAUGCGUCCUAACCAGGUAAUGGGUAUGCAAUCAGGGAGCUAAUCUCUACGAUCCAAACACAGAAAUUCAAUUAUAGCCAACUGGUGAGAUUUUUGCUUUGCUUUAUGAUUUUUACUUGAACGUUUCAUAUAUAGUUCACAUAUCUGUCUUAUUUCUAAAACUUGUCUCCAAGUAUAUUUACUUGCAUCUAGAUAAUAUCAGCAGAAUUUUAGAACUCAUCUGAGUUUCAAAAUGUACUAGUUUUAACUGUGUCUUACUGUAUGCAACAAAUAAUAAGAUAACAUAAUGGGGGAUUCUUGGAAAAGUGAAGUAUCCUUUAGAUAUAUUUAUUAUUAUUUGAUGACAAAUGUCUGAAAAGAUUUGAUUUUAUUUACUUUUUGUUUAUAGGUCCUGAGAAAGGGAAAUGAGUGCCAAUAGUAAAAUUACCAAAAGAUAUUUGCAGAACCUGAGGUCUCUCAAUCGGCAAGGUAGGCAGCACCUCAUUCAGUUCCCUAUCUAAAUAUAACUGUUAAUUAAAUUUUAAUUUUAAUGCUUGAAAAUGCAGGAUGAUAAGAAGUUACUGACCUUUCUUGGGAUGUAGACUGAAUUCUGCUUUGGGUUUGUAGGGAUCAUUUGUGUGUUCAUCACUGCUACUGCCACCACUGCUGCUGCUACUUUCCCUUUUUUUUCUUAGGUUACUCAGGUCUCUCUUAUUUUCCUAUUUAAUGUAAUUAUAUGUAAUCGAUGCAUUACAUCAUAAGUCCAGGAAGAGUCAUGUCUAAACUGUAACCACAACAAUAUUCUGAUUAUGGCAGGUUCAUAUACUUAGGCAUGCCUCUUUCGCCUGAACACUGUUUAGGACCCUGGUGUCAAGAGGUUGAGGAGGAUGGCAAUCAUUUUCUAUAUUUAUGUCAAUGUUCUUGGAGUUCCGGAGCAAGUUACUUUCUCCGACGAUGCUAUUUUGGUCUCAUCCCCUUUGCAUCAAAUUCCUCUUGCAAUGCUUCAGAGCCUUUUCUGGAUUACUCAGGUGGUUUGCUUCCUAUUCUGCUGCUUCUCCAUGGCUAGUAAGAUAUGAGGUUGGCUUUAAUGAGAAAAGGUGGUGGGUGAAUGAGAUUAUUUUUCUUAAUAAGCUUUGUUCUCUACAUUGGCUUAGAGCUUUGGCUGAUGGCAUCUUGUUUUUGGACUAAGAUUCUGUAGCUUUAAGGAGACUUGGUGAAGUCUCCUUUGGUAAAAUCUGUUGGGAUGUUAAUGGCCUUGCUGACUCUUUAGUGUAUAGAACUGAUAUGUUAAUGGCUUGGUGGUUAUACUCAGUCGCUCUGAUAUUUGGUGCAAGUUUUUCGGGAGGCUGUUAAAUUAUCUCCACCCUUUGGGCACCAUUGUACUAGGCCUGUUAUUAGAGCUUUUAUGGUGUGUACAUUUUUACUCUUUUGGGUGUUAUUUUAGUCCGGUGAGACUGCUUCUUAUCCGUGUCCCAGGUGUUGUAUUUUUUCUUUCAGCUUUCAGUAACAUCUAACCACAACAGAGAUGCAAAAUUGGUGUAGCAAACCAUUGUUUGAAGCAUGUUGCCCUGUCAAAUUUAUCAUCUGUUGAUUGCCAAUGGCAUACAGAAGAAUUGAACAGUUAUUUGAUAAAUAAGAUUCAAUGUUUGUAUUCUUGGAUAUUUGGAACUGUAUGUGCAGGGUUGAAGGACCAACCGACAAUGACCAGAGCUUUAUUUAACAAAAAGAAUACCAAAUAAUUGUCUCUAGAGUGGUUAGUAAGGAUAUUAUAGUUGUUGUCCCAGUGGUCACAAAAACUGAGUCCUUCAUGAAGGAAAAUUGAUGGUGGAUAAGGCAAUUUAUGGGUGGUGCCAAACAAAUUGUUCAGAGGAUCUAAUCUAACAACAAUAAUCCAAUAUAUAAGAACAAGUCCUGCUGCCACAAGAAUAAUGUGUAGAGUACAUCACAAGAGUCCAGUUAUUAAGUUUUUAUGUUUUACACACUGAUUGCAUGCUUCAUUCCUUAAGAACGAGAGAAACCAAGAACAUGUAGCGGGCUAACAGCUCCAAAUGCUUACUCAAGAAAGCACUUGGAAAGCCUUCUCUCUGCCUCUUUAGAUGCAUUAGGCACAUUUUUACAAGGCAGUAAGUGUCUUUUUACUAUUACCUUUGGUUAGAUGGAGGUUCUUAUUCUCAUUUGCAUGACGGUGUUUUAUAGUUCCAGGAAAUACCAGUUCAUAAAGGUUUAACAGAAAUAAUUUAGAAACUUUCUUCUUUCCCGUUUUAGAAAGAGUGGGAGAUGCAAUUGAAGUUAUAUAAGAAUAAAGCUACGAGCCUAAGGCAACCUCUCCAUUCUGCAGCCCGCCUCCUUCCCAACCCAACAACAAAUAGUAAAACUUGAACGUUAAACUGAUCUUCCUCUUGCUUUGAAGUGCAGAUCUUCUGAUAGUCCUUUUCAUGAACUUGCCACUGUAGGAUCAAGUACUUAUAGGCACUAUGUCACAGGAUUUAUAGCCCAAACUAGAAUUUUCACUCCUUUUUUUUUUUUGGGUCGAGUUCUCACACCAGUUGGGUUCCUGGCCACAAGUUUAACAGUAUCUAGAAUAAACCGUACCAUAUCUGUCAGCCAUAAGGUUAAGGCCUAGAAUUUUCGCUUAUAGUAUACAUGCUCAAUUUUGUUUUUAACGUGUUAAUAAACUUAAGACAUAACAAAUCAACCUUCAUUUCGUCUUAAAACCAAUUCAGCAAUCAUCUCUUAUGGUAUGAUGUAUAAUUAAUGUACCAUGCCAUUGCAGAACUUGGAACACCUCUUCCUGAGGAUGCUUCCACUGUCACUGAUCAACCUUCAAUGUUGAUACUUGAUAAGCGCUGGAAAUGGUGGGUUCUUGUGGUAAUCAGCAUCGCCUAUCCCUUGCUUGGUCAGUCCAAACAAACAAAUUCUAUUUCAAUCAUGUUAUAAUAAACACUUCAACUUAAUCAAUAAUGGAGUCAACUAUUUUAUAAAAUUCGUAAUAAUUAAUCAAUGUUAUAUUUUGACGAGAUUUCGAUAAUAUCUUAAUAAAUUUUUAUUCGAUUAAACUUAAAUUUAUUGAAGAUUUCUAAUCAAGCUUUUUACAGAAAAUAUUAAAUGAAUGUCUCAUGAAUCAUGAUGAAACUAAUUAAUAAGUGAUUGGUAUGAUGAAGUUGUAAUUUCGUUCGUUUUUUUCUUUAAAUUUGUUUUUGGGUGAUAUCAAGUUUUUGAUAGUUUUAAUAGCUAAGUUAUAUAGCUUGCACUUUUCAUUAAUUAUAACUUGCCUUUGUUGAAGGAGUUUUCUUUUCUUUAUUUGAAAAAAAGUUUGAGAAAUUAUUGAACAUAAACUAUUUUAGCGCCAUAUUUUUUAAUUUAUUUAAAAAAUUGUCAAAUAUAAAUAGUAAAAGGAUAUUUCACUAAAAAAAUAAAGGUACAUUUUACAAAAUACUUUAAUUUGACUAUUUUUAAACUAAAUUUAAAAUAUUGAUAAAAUUAUAUUUGUUUAAAUAUGAAUAGUAAUUAUCAGCAAAAAUCUAUUAAUUACUCACUCGACUUACAAUUGCGGUAGUCCACAAAACCUAAACAUGAAAAUUUUAUCAUAUGCUAAUAACAUCAUAAUGUUUUGGAUGAUGCAAAUAUAUUGUUUAACAUCAUAAUGUCAACACAUUUAUUAUAAUUCUAUUAAUUAGGUAUUUGUUUAUUGCCAAAUAUUUCUUCUAUUAGGUUUGCUUGUACAGUCCAUUGGUAUUUAAUUUUUUGGAAUUUAAAAUAUAUUCUUUUAAACUGUCUUAUAAAUCGAUUGUCAUAUUUUCUUACAAAAAAUAAAUAUUAAUAAAAUGUUGUUCAUUAUUUCCAUACUAUUUGUGAAUAGUAGUCAAAUAGUUAAAAUCAAAUAAAGUAGCAUUAUUUUUUAAAAAACAAAAUUCGCAAAUGAUGGAACUUGAUUUUGAAGCCAAAAGAUUUUAAAAUAUCUUUCUAUGACAAAGACUAAAACUCAUUCACUUAUAUAUUCUAUUUUAAUUUGCAGUAGGAUAUAAAAAAAUUCCUUAUUACUAUAACCACUCAAAAAUGUGAAUUUUUUUUUAGAAUUGAAAAAAAUGAAUUUAAACUUUACACUUUAAAUAAAGAGAUCAUAUACCAAUCAAUUAACAAAAUACCUGAGUACAAAAAAAAUGUGAUUAAUAUACCUAACAUUUCUUUAUGAAACUAUUUGCAGUAUAUACUUAUACCAACAGGAAGGAAUUUUUUUUAGAAAAAAGAAUCCCAAAAGAAAAUUCACAAUUAUUCUACAUACUAACAUUAAAGUUUUUAAACUAUACAAAGAAAUUAAAAAAUUGUCUAAUGUUUGAUUAGAGUAUGUUUAUUGAAAUUAAUAAAUUGUUAUAAUAACUAAAUAAAUAUGUUAUAUAUAAAAUAAUAAUUUGCCAAAAAAAAGAGGACCUACUAUUAAAUCAAAAUUUGAACCAAAAUGAACCCACCCCACUAGCUUGGUUAAUGCCCAUUUACCUUUAUUUUCCAUGGCAGUCUAAAUUUUUGGCAAAAAGGCUUACCUUUCACGUUAUCUCUUUGAUUGUACCAAAGAUUAAUUUUUUUAAUGUUUCCUUUGGCAUUCUCCAAAACCAUGCGGGUUCCAUCCACGGAGAAGAAUUACUUAACCAAGUAAAAAAAAAAUGAAAGAAAGAUAUUUAAAGAAAUUUUGAUAAAAUAAAAUAAAUUGCAAAUAUCAUUUUAUUUUGUUGAAGUAUUUUGAAGCACAAAAUUGAGAAAGACCAAUAAUUAAAUAAGCUUUGAUUGAUUUAUUUGAUAAUAAUGAAAUCUGUGAAUGCAAAAGGCUAAAAUUAAGUACGGAAAUGCUUCAUUUGAAGGACAGAGUAAGGAAAGAAGAAGCGAGUAAAACCAUGGAAAGAUAUAGUAAAAUUAAGAGAGCAACGAAUGAAGGGAUUAAUGAAUACUUCAGUACUCACCUAAUGACUUGUGAAUUUGUCUAAUAAAUUUUUAACUGUUUCCAAAAGGAGAGGAUUAAGAGUUGUGAUCAUGGAAGUGUUGGAACACGUAGCCUUACCCUUUCUACAACUUGGGUUUGCCUUUAUUCAAGGCAGAAACAAAUCCAUUUGACUCAUGCAUGAAGAACAAGAACAUGAUUCAAAACACUAACGUGGCCAUACUGACCUACACUACCCUAAAUAGUCCAAUUCCCCAAAAGUAGGAAUUAGCUUUCGAUGACUCCUUUAGGGAUGGUAAUGAGUACUUGAUUAUAGGAUACUUGUGAGUAUCCGAUCCGAUUAUAUAAAAUUAAGAUAUCUUAUAAUACAAGUUUAUAAAUAAAUAAAUAAAUUUAUAGUUAAUAUUAAAUUAUUAUGAUUAUGAUUUGUUUACGUAUAUAUAAUAAAUUAAUAUAUUUUAAAUAUAUUAUUAAUUAAAUUUACUAUUAAUUCGUCAUGAUAUAUAUAAAAAAUAUUUUUUAUAUAUUAAUAUAUAUAAAAUAAUUUAAUUUUUUAAAUGAAUUGAUCUAAAAGUUUUAAAAUCGAAAAUCGAUCAAAAAUUUAAUUGAAUUAAAUUUUUUGACUAAACAACUCAAUAGAUCAAUUACAUUGAACUAUUUUACUUAAAUUACAUUUAAUUUAAAUGAUUAAUUACUCGGAUUUGAUUUUAAUCACUUCUGAAUUUCGUACAAAGGGAUGCCCCGGAGGAAAGGCUCAAUGAUUACAGUAACAGCAGUAGGCAACCAUCUUUACCCGUCACUUAUAAAUAAUUUCGACACGUGGCAUCAUAAUACACCGACCGCCACAUAUGCAUAUGACGUGGCCCCUCAAAAUUCACGAGGAAAUAGCCGCAGCUCCACCCGAAGGUGGAGUUGACAUGCGCCAAAACUUAAAAUGUCAAAGAAAGCGUACAGACAUAAAGCGAGUUUGGUCGUUUCUCAGAUAUAUGCUAACCUGUGUGAAAAUGUUGAAUGAAUAAAUGAGCACUGUCUUCAAGCUGGCUGUUUCCUGUUCACUUUUUGGUUGUCUGUUUUACUUUCAGUUCCGGGUCCAACUGGUAUUCCAUUUAGAAGAUUGUUCAAGCUUCUAAGCUCCAAGAUUUCUGCUUCUUUACUUACCAGGAGUCUUCCUGGCAACUGGCAAGUUAGUGUUAGUUCACAUUUUCCAUCUUUGUAUCAUCACAUUUCACUUUUAUUUUGCUUAGUUUAACAAAUGAUUUAUAGCUAGAGCUUGGUUUGUUGAUUCUUUGUGCUAGGGUCAGAGCUCCAGUGGAUUUUUCAUUGCCAUGUUCCAAAUUUGCUAUCUUCUUGCUUCUUUCUUAUGUUUGAAAAGAUAGGUGAGAGAGAGAGUUUGAACACAAUAAUUCAACACAAUAUUUCAAAGUUACUGUGUAAGAGUUGAUUUGAAAGUUUGGUAGCCAGCUAGCUACUAAUAAUUGGGAGAUGUUGCUGGUGAAGAUGUAUUUCGAUGGUUGAACUGGGAUUUUUAGUCUGAAACUCAUUUUAUCUUCUUAAUGCACCUUGGUUACUGUCUAUGGUGGGUUUCAAAAGUUAAGUUUACAACUUCCAACAGUAGUGUGUGCUUUAAGAAAUGUGUCAAUGGUAGCUAUUUGUUGUUUGUUCCCUGAUUCUGCAGAUAAAAUUUCUAUUCUGUUUAGAUGAUUGACAUCUCAAGAGAAGUGACUGUUACUUGUGUGAUGCUAAACCAAACAAUUUUCAAGUUGGUUAAUUCGCACCUUGCUUUGCAGAAAUAAAUGGCAUAUGAUCUGGGCAUAGCAUUUUACAUCACCAUAUGCUGCAUUGCCUUUAUUAUAUCGAAGAUCAUUCUUUGGAUUCUCCUUUAUAAGCGAUGGAAAAGAAAGACGAUGAUUUAUGAGGAAGGUUUCUCAGGUAUUGAACCUUCUAAAUGAUGACUUUUUUUUCCUAUAAUUUGACUUCUGAUGGAGGCAAAAAUGAUGCUUUUCCAACUUGGUAGCUUCUGGCAUAUGCAUGAAUGCAGGAGGGAAGAUGGUGAUGUUUAGGUCUCCAGUGUUGCAGUCUGUCUCAUCUGAUGUGUUGUUAAAGAAGACAUUGAAGUUAAGCAACAAAGACAUCAUUGGUGCUGGAGGGUAUGGUACAGUUUACAAAUUAAUUAUAAGUGAUACCAUGGCCUUUUCCGUGAAAAGGCUAAAUAGAGGAACUGAAGAUAGAGAUAAAGGAUUUGAGAGAGAAUUGGAAGCAAUGGGGGAUAUCAAGCACCGCAACAUUGUAACUCUGUACGGAUACUACAGCGCCCCUCACUACAAUCUUCUGAUAUAUGAGCUAAUGCCUAAUGGAAGUUUGGAUGCUUUUCUGCGUGGUAUGCACAUUUUUUCUUCAAAUACUAGGUUUAUCUUCAAGUUUUCAGCAUCCAUAUUUGUCAAAGUUAAGAGGGUCGAUAAUUUUUCUUAUUUUUUUGAAGAAAAGAGGGCAAAAUUUCAAAACUAUCAAAAUUCCAGAAUGUUGGAUUUUGUUGGAAGUUCAAAGAUCAGACUUGAUGCCCGAAGCAGAAGAUCAAAAGUUGCUGAUAGAUUAAUCUGUGAUGCAGGGAAAUCAAUGGACAGUAAGGUUUUGGAUUGGCCAACAAGAUAUAAAAUAGCAUUAGGUGCUGCAAGAGGAAUAGCAUACCUUCACCAUGAUUGUAUCCCCCAUAUAAUCCACAGAGAUAUCAAGUCAAGCAAUAUAUUACUGGAUCAGAACAUGGACGCUCGAGUCUCAGAUUUCGGACUUGCCACAUUGAUGGAGCCAGACAAGACUCAUGUUUCAACAUUUGUGGCUGGAACCUUUGGAUAUUUAGCCCCAGGUACGACGAACAAAAUUACAGUCAUUCUUUUCAUCUAGUUUUUGACUGUUUAACAACUAAACUUUGUUCUUCUGCAGAAUAUUUUGAUACAGGAAGAGCAACAGCAAAGGGCGAUGUUUACAGCUUUGGAGUUGUUUUACUAGAGCUUUUAACAGGAAAAAAGCCAACAGAUGAAGCGUUUCUGGAGGAGGGAACAAAACUUGUUACAUGGGUAAGUUCUCCAAUAUCAUGAACAUUUAAUUUGACAUAAUUGUCCAUUACUUGAUAAUGCCUACCUCCAUUUAAAUGUCCAAUAAACUGGUGAAAUUAUCUCUUCCAGUCAUUGGUUAAAAAGAGUUCAUAAAAUUCUUGUUAUUUUUAUCUGUAUGCUAUUCAUCAGAGGCAUUUUCUUCUGUGUCAACUGUCAAGUACAUAUUGGCUAAAGAUUCAUAGAAAAUAGUUGGAAGAGUUUCUGAUGUUCUGUUUCAUUACCAUCUUGAACAGGUAAAGGGAGUUGUUGAAGAAAGGAGGGAAGAAUAUGUGCUUGACAGUAGCUUAGGUUCUUGUCCCGUGGAUGAGAUUAACAAUGCUUUCAAUGUAGCAUUAAUGUGCCUUGAAACAGAACAAACUGUCUUACAUACCUCUCCUGAUUUCCUCAACUUUGUCACUGAAAAGCAAGAGUGCUUUUUAAAUAAUAUCAUGCAUAAUUUUGUUGAUUUUAUAAUUUCAUAUAGGGUUAGAAAAUUACAAUUUGGAUUAAAUAAGAAUUCAUAAUCGAUACAUUGGGUCUAUUACUUUUAUAAGCUAUUUUUAUAGAUUACAACUAGGUAGUCAAAUCAUUAAAAUUAACAUUUAUUAAAUGAAGAUAAAAAAAUAAAUAAGGAAGCAAGCUGUUAUUUGAGAUCAUUCAGCCUAACAUAUAUGCCUGUUUCAUCCGAGCAUUUCAUGCAUGAAUACUUUUCAUUUUUUAAUGAAAGUAGUAAUACAAUAUUUAUAUUGCUCUACAACUCUUACGUAAAUAAACCAAUAUUUUCAUUGACAGAAAUAUUACAUUUGGUUAUUUUUCUACAUUUCUAUUUCUUAAUUCUUUUAUUGGAUUAUUAUUCAAUGCAUAGCAGUUUAUAUAUCUAUAUAUAUAUAUAUUAUAUUAUUUUAUUUUAUUUUAAAAAAUAAUUAUUUAAUUAUUAAAUAAACAUACAAAAAUUUUAAACUUACCUGUAGAAUUAAAAAAAUUCACAAUCAAUAUACAAAAUAAUAAUCUAUUUUUUCAUAAAACCAAACAAACUCAUCAUUUUAAUUUUUUCAUUCUCUUUUUUUUUUUUUUUUUGCUGUAUUUUUAUACUUGUAGGUUUACUCACAUUUUUCAGGUACUUAAAUUUAUUUAUCAUAUGAAUAAUUUUAAAACGUUUUUUAUUAGAAAAUAAAUAUAGCUAGGGUUUGGGAAAGUAAGAGGCAAGCAGCAUGGUUUAGGAAAGAUAGCAACCAAAAAAAAUAUUAUCUGGCUUAGGGUAUCCUCGAAAUCUACCUAAAGCCAAGUUGAGUAUUAAAAAGUUUAUUCAAACUCUAUUCAUUACCGAAUAGAGGGUAUCCCAAUCUUAUGUUAUCAAGUCAAAUACGUGUGGAUACUAUAUAAUAGUUACCUGUUACAUCCUAAGUUAGACUUCACAAUUUCUUUAGGAAACAAUUUGUUGUAUGUACUUGUACCAAAAAGAAUAAACAAGCUAUUUUACUAUAAAUAACAAUAGGACCACUACAGCAAAAUAGAAAACUAAAAAAAGGGAAAAUUGAGAAUAUCAAUAAUUAAAUAAGCUUUGAUUGAUUUAUUUGAUAAUAAUGAAAUCUGUCAAUACCAAAAGGCUGAAAUUAAGUAAGGAAAUGCUUCAUUUGAAGGAGAGAGUAAGGAAAGAAGAAGCCAGGAAAGCCCUGGAAAGAUGUAGCAAAAUUAAGAGAGCAAUGAAUGAAGGGAUUAAUGAAUACUUCAGUAGUCACCUAAUGACUUGUGAAUUUGUCUACUAAAUUUUUAAUUGUUUCCAAAAGGAGAGGAGUAAUAGUUGUGAUGCAAGUGUUGGAACACAUAGCCUUACUCUUUCUUCAACUUGGUUUUGCCUUUAUUCACUGCAGAAACAAAUCCAUUUCGCUCAUGCAUGCAGAACAAGAACAUGAUUCAAAACACUAACAUGGCUAUACUGACCUUCACCACCCUAAAUAGUCCAAUUCCCCCAAAGAAGAAGAAUCCUUUAUAGCAUGUUUGGUUGGGGGAAUGGCUAAGCCAUUCCCCCUUUAUUCCCAAGGAAUUUUUAUUCCUUUGUUUGGUUGAAAAAUAAUCCAAGGAAUAGCCAUUCCUAUGGAAUGACUAUUCUUAAAAAUCCUUCAAAACCAAGGAAUAGCUAAUACCAUCCUCUCCCAUGGUAUUAGCUAUUCCAUGAUUGAGGAAUAAAUUUAAAAAUUAAUAAAGACAAAAAUACCCCUUACAAGUUUGAAAAUUUACAACUUUAUUAGUAUAAAAUAUUAUUUUUCUCUCUCUUCUCUUUCUCUCACUUGAUUUCAAUUUUUAAUAAAAUAUUAAUUUUUUUAAAAUAUUAAUAUUAAAUUAUAAUAAAUAUUAAUAUUUAAAAUUAAUNNNNNNNNNNNNNNNNNNNNNNNNNNNNNNNNNNNNNNNNNNNNNNNNNNNNNNNNNNNNNNNNNNNNNNNNNNNNNNNNNNNNNNNNNNNNNNNNNNNNNNNNNNNNNNNNNNNNNNNNNNNNNNNNNNNNNNNNNNNNNNNNNNNNNNNNNNNNNNNNNNNNNNNNNNNNNNNNNNNNNNNNNNNNNNNNNNNNNNNNNNNNNNNNNNNNNNNNNNNNNNNNNNNNNNNNNNNNNNNNNNNNNNNNNNNNNNNNNNNNNNNNNNNNNNNNNNNNNNNNNNNNNNNNNNNNNNNNNNNNNNNNNNNNNNNNNNNNNNNNNNNNNNNNNNNNNNNNNNNNNNNNNNNNNNNNNNNNNNNNNNNNNNNNNNNNNNNNNNNNNNNUAAAUAAAAUAUUAAUAUUUUUAAAAAUAAAUAAAUAUUAAUAUUGAAAUUAUCAAUUAUUAAUAUUUUAAAUAAAUUAUCAAUUAUUAAUAUUUUAAAAAUAAAAUAAAAUAAAAAAUUAAUCAUAAUAAUAUUUAAAUUAAAUAAAUGUUAAUAUUUAAAUGAUUUAUUAUUAAUAUUUUAAUUAAAUUCUAGAUUAUUAAUAUUUAAAAAAUCUAAUAAAAUAAAAUGUCAUAUAAAUAAUAAAGGAUGUUUUUGUCUUUUUAUUUUCUAUUCUUUUCUUAUUCCCAAAUUAUUGUUACCAACCAAACACUACAAUAAGUCAUAAUAAUUAUUCCUGUUCUAUUCUUUUUGUCAUACCAAACUAAGUAAUAACUAUUCUAUUCUAUUCCCACCUCAUUCAAUUCCCACAUAAUAACUAUUCUAUUCCAUUCCUGUCUAUUUCGCCAAUCAAACGUACCAUUAGAGUUCGAUGACUGCUUUAUUGAAAGUAGGAAUUUGCUUUCGGUUACUCAUGGCCAGUUUUUUCCUUGUCUUUUUCGAUCGGAACUGCUGCCUCCAACAAACUACAUGGGGUCUUUCUUCGAAAGAGAAUUCGACGACUCCAAGUCAAUACCCAACUCAAUUAUUAAGCUACCCUCACAAACUUCUUUAACCUUCACACAACAAAAAUACAUCUCUUUUCCACGUACUUCAAUCUCCAUUUUGAUUUCUCUCUUUCUUGCUUGAGCAUAACAAUCAUGUCUUUUGUUUGGGAGGCUGCUCUCACAGCUUUCUUUGAUGUGUUGUUUGGCAAGUUAUCCUCUUCUGAUUUCCUCGACUUUGUCACUAAAAAGCAGGUCCGCAAGGAGCUCAACGAGUGGGAAACGAUGCUGCGGGAUAUCCGUGCCGUGCUUGAUGAUGCAGAGGGGAAGCAGAUGAAGGAUCAGUCUGUGAAGAACUGGUUGGCCGAGCUUCAAGACUUGGCUUACGAUGUUGAUGACAUUUUGGACGAGUUUGCCACUGAAGCUUUAGGGCGCAAGCUGACAUCCUUGGAGGAACCUCAAGGCAUCAAAAAUAAGGUACAAAAGAUCAUUCCUACUCGUUUAUUCUUUCCAAAAACUUUCAUGUUUAAUAAGAAGAUGAUACACAAGAUUAAAGAGAUCAGUGCUAGAAUGAAUCGUUUGGCCACAAAAAGAACUCACUUGGGAUUGGGAGGCAUUAAUGAGGGAGCAAGGCCCAACAUAAUGACACAAAGUCAGCCUACUUCUGUGGUGGAUGAAACUAAGGUGUACGGCAGGCAAGAAGAAAAGGCAGCAUUACUUGAAUUGCUUUUGAGCAAUGAUGGCACUGGCAAUGAAGCUUCUGUGAUUCCCAUCAUUGGCAUGGGAGGAAUUGGCAAGACAACUCUUGCACAACUUCUCUACAAUGAUACUCGUAUAGAGAAUUCUUUCGAGUACAAGGCGUGGGUAUGCGUUUCCGAAGAUUUUGAUGCCGUUAGCAUAACAAAGAGAAUUCUACGGUCAAUCAAUCGUGGUUGUUGUACCGAUGAUAAUGAUCUCAAUUUACUUCAAGUUGAGUUGAAGAAGAUGCUGGCUGGGAAAAAGCUUUUGCUUGUCCUGGAUGAUAUCUGGAACGAGAAUUAUCUGGAGUUGACCAACCUACUUUCUCCAUUUGGAGUUGGAACCAAAAUUCUCGUCACAACACGGAGUCACAAUGUUUCUUCUAUUAUGGGCACUGUUAAAGCUUACCCACUACAACAGUUAUCAGAGGAGGAUUGUCUAUCUGUAUUUACUCGACAUGCAUUAAGAGCAAAUGAUUUUAGUGGGCAUCCUGAAUUAAAAGAAGUUGGGGAAAUUAUAGUGAAAAAGUGCAAAGGCUUACCUUUGGCAGCUAAAGCCAUUGGUGGUUUACUACGCACUAGCCUGGACUAUGAGGCAUGGAAAGGUAUAUCAGAGAGUGAGAUAUGGGGCAUACCAGAAGAGAAAUGCAGCAUAAUUCCAGCUCUACGAUUGAGCUAUCAUCAUCUUCCUUCACAUUUGAAGCGAUGCUUCACAUAUUGCUCUAUACUCCCUAAAGAUUAUGAAUUUGGGGAGGAAGAGAUAACCUUGUUAUGGGCAGCAGAAGGUUUUCUACAGGGAGCAAGCCCUAAAACUGAAAUUGAUGACCUAGGUCGUCAAUAUUUUCGAGAUCUAGUAUCAAGGUCAUUUUUUCAAACAUCUACUAGAAACAAAUCUCGAUUUGUAAUGCAUGACCUUGUCAAUGAUCUAGCUCAAUCGGUUGCAGGAGACAUAUGCUCCAAAUUGGAGGAUGAUAAGCAAAUGAGAUUUUCAAAACGUACCCGACAUUCAUCUUAUAUUAGUGGCCGAUACGACGGAAUGAAAAAGUUUGAAGCCUUUGAUCAAAUGAAGCAUCUACGUACCUUUCUAUCAUUGUUGGGGUUGUCGUGGACACGUGAAGUUGAUUGUUAUUUAAGUAAUAAUAUCCUCACUGAUUUAUUGCCCAAACUUAGAUACUUAAGAGUUCUUUCUCUGAAAGGGUAUUGGAAUAUUGAGUUACCAAAUCUUUUUCAAGAGUUAAGACAUUUGCGUCAUCUAGAUUUUUCUUAUUCUAAAAUUAAAAGUCUACCUGAUUCAAUAUGCACCCUUUAUAAUCUAGAAACCUUAUUAUUACAUGGGUGUUACAAUCUUGAAAACCUACCGUCAAAUCUACAAUUUCUAGUCAACUUGAGUGUUCUCGACAUCACUUGUGCAAUUUCAAUGAACAAGAUGCCGUUUGAAAUUGGUACCUUAACCAAUCUUCGAAGACUAUCUGAUUUUGUUUUGGGCAAAGGUGAUGGACAUCAAAUACAAGAGAUGAAGAAUUUGUUAAAUCUCAAGGGUAAGCUUUGUAUCUCAGGGUUAGAGAACGUUGUUAAAGCUCAGGACGCAUGGGAGGCUAAGUUGAUUGAUAAGUCAAGCCUUGAGACAUUAGAACUAAAGUGGAAUACAGAAUUUGAUAAUAAUAGAAACAAAGAAGUCGAAGAAGAGGUGUUGAAUUUGCUUGAACCUCACAAAAAGCUUGAAAAGCUCUUCAUUCAGAAUUAUGGUGGUACAAAAUUUCCAAUUUGGAUGAAUUCUUUAUUACAAAAUUUAUCGUCUUUGGUUCUCAAGGGCUGUAAAAAUUGUGUAUCACUGCCAUCACUUGGAAAAUUACCAUUGCUGAAGAAUCUUUCUAUUGCUGGAAUGGAUGAGUUAAAUAAAGUUGGCAUUGAGUUCUACGGGGAGAAUCACUCAAAUGCAUUUUCCUUGUUACAGAGUUUGCGCUUUGAGAAUAUGCCAAGAUGGAAGGAAUGGGACUUGGUUGAUGAACAAGUUGGGAAAUUCCCUAGCCUCAUCGAGCUUUCCGUCAUAAACUGCCCUCAAUUGUUGGGAAGGUUGCCUAACCAGCUUCGUUCCUUAGAGAAGCUUGAAAUUCAUGAGUGUGCACAAAUGGUGGUUUCACUUUCAGACCUUCCAAAGCUGUCCGAAUUAGAAAUAGAUGAGUGUGCAGAGUUGGUGCUUACAGAUGAUGCAGACUUUCCUUCACUAAAAAAAGUCGAUCUUUCAAAUGUUGUAAAGUUUUCUACUCCAACAGAAAGGCUGGUAUCAACAUCAACAACAUUGGAGUACUGUGGGAUUUAUAAUUGCAAGGGAUUGACAUAUUUAUCGAUAAAGAAGUUGGGACUAUUGAGAUGUGUUCGUAAAUUGGAAAUUUUAAAAUGUCCACAACUUGUACUGUUAGAGCCAGAUGAGUUAGAGGAGGCAGAAGAGGAGCUGUUUCAAAUUGGAAAUCUUUGCAAUAUUGAAUCUUUGAUAAUAUGGGAAAAUGAUCUCAAUAUGGAAUCAUUGAGAAUAAGAAAGCAUUUUCUCGCAUUUGUUACAGAGAUGGGAAUUGACGACUGCCCAAACAUAGUUUGUUUUGCAAAGAACAACUUACCCCCGCUUUUGAAAAAGUUAAGGAUUGAAAGUUGCGACAAUUUACGAUGUUUGGUGGAUGAAGGAGAAAAUAUAAGCAUCAAUAACAUAUCUCCUCUUGAGCUGUUGGAAAUUGUGGGUUGUCCGUCUCUACUAUCAUUAAGCAUCAGUAACAUAUCUCUUCUUCAGCAUCUGCGAAUUAAAGUGUGUCGGUCUCUAAGAUCAGUAAGCAUCAGCAACAUAUCUCCUCCUCUUAAGCAUUUGGAAAUUAGAGACUGUGGGUCUCUAAUAUCAUUAAGCAUCAGUAACAUUUCUCUUCUUGCGCAUUUGAAUAUUGCAAAUUCUCCAUCUUUAAUAUCAUUAUCAUUACCUGAUACGCUUCAACAUCUUAGACUUGGGUACUGCCCAAAGCUAGCUUCCUUAUCAGAAAGUGGCAAGUUACCCAUAGGGCUUAAACAGCUUGACCUUUCUAGCUGCCCAGAGCUCGAAUCCAUUGCAGAAGCAAUUGACAAAAACACUUGUCUUGAAUCUAUUGGGAUCCGGGGGUGUGGUAUUAAAUCUUUACCGCAAGGAUUUGACAAGCUCAACCAUCUUCAGAGUAUUACAAUUCGUAAAUGUUCAAAUCUAGUCUCGUUGGAAGGGUUUUUGCCCACCACCAAUUUGACUAACCUUUGGAUCUCUAAUUGUGAAAAUUUGCGAGCCCUGCCCAAUUGCAUGCACAACCUCACCUCGCUUCAAGAAUUGGUGGUUGAUAAUUAUUUUUCAGGAGAUCAGAUAUCCAUUCCAGAAGGGGGCAUCUCUAACAAUGUGACAUCACUUACAAUCUCAGUACCAAGAAAUUAUGAGUUUCUACUUGAAUGGGGAUUGCAUAAACUCAGCUCUCUUAAAACACUUACCGUUACUGGUAGAGGAUGUCCGAAUAUGGUGGCGUUUCCCCCAGAGGAGAUAGGAAUGAUGCUGCCUUCCUCUCUCAUCAAAUUGAACAUUCACGCUUUCAAAAAUUUGAAAAGCCUAUCCUCUAAAGGCUUUCGAAACCUCACCUCUCUUCAUCAUUUGUACAUCUUCUCUUGCCCUAAGCUCACAUCUCUUCCUGAAAAAGACACGCUUCUUUCGCUUUUGGAGUUUCGCGCUAAGUAUUGUCCAUUGUUAGAGGAAAAGUACAAAAAGAACAAAAGACGAGAGUGGUCCAAGAUAGCCCACAUACCUUGCAUUAGUAUUAAUGAGAGGUGGUAAAGUAGAAGUCAACUAUGAAAGUCACAGGUAUGAAACCAUUUGAAACGUACGAAAAUUUAGAAGCUUCUUAUUUUUAACAACAAAAUGAAACUAAUUAUAAUAUUAUUUUUGUCAUCGUUGAUUAUUUGCAAGCAAUUUAAAAGCUUUGGAAGGUAACUUGGCGAGAAACUUGCUUCUCACUUUCAUCAAAAAUGGCAAAAUCAGUGUGUAAAUUUGAAUGAUUGGUUAGUAGUCUCAUGCUCAUACAACUUCAACAGUCUUGGAAUAGGGCAUUUCAAAAGAUCAUUUCAUGGAAAAGGGUGGACCCACAUCGGUUUUCUUGGGCCUUGUACGUUGAUUUCGUUUUCUUUUCUGACCUAUGAAAGUACCGCAGAUGUUGAUGAAUGGAGCGGUCAGUUAAUUCUCUACAACUUCAUCUACAUUUUUAGUGUUUGAUCGAUUUGAUAUUCUAAUAAAAUACUAUUGAGAUUUCUUCAUUUCUAUUAUGAUGAAUUUGGUGUAUUUUUUACAAAUUCAAACUCUGCCAAUUCUACUUUACUUGCCUAUACCUGGAGUACAUCCUUUAUUAUAUUCUUAUAAUUUCACAUCAUUCUCAUUUGAUCUGUCUCAUAUAAUUUCCCAUACUCCAUUCUAUCUUACUUUUUCUAAUUUGUUGGAGAAACUGCUUUAUAAAGAAAAGAAAAGAGAGAAAAGGAAUAGAAGAUCACAUAUGUAGGUUACGUGCUCUAUUGAAUUCGUUAAGAAACUUUAAUUUUCUGUUAGAUUUCCAUUAUUACUUUUGAUCUUUGAUAUUAACAUGUUUAAGUCACUGUUCUGUGUGGAGGUGGAUAGACUAACAUCUCGUAGCCCUUCAUUGAUUAUACCUUUCUAGUUUCAGCUGUAUAGAAGAGAUAGGCAAUGUUGCUUACUUUUUGUACCUUGCUCGUUCUCAGGGAUUUGCCAAUCUGCGAUUGUCUUAAUUUUGCAAUCCUUCUGUAAAAGUACUCGCUCUCUCACCUUUCCAACUAUCUAUUGCUUACUGUCCUCUGGUAAGUUCACAGUGCAAAAGCAAAUGAAGGAUGGUGCAGGUGAAGAUCGCCUGCAUGCCUUAUGCUUGUGUCCAUAACAGAUUACUCAUUAUCAGAGAAUAGAUAUAUCACAUCCCAUUCAGGCUUUAACACAGGGUAUGUAAAUUAGAAAUUUUCUUAUAUCUUUUUCUCUAAAAGAAAUUCAAAUAAUUGAUUAAAUUUUGAAUGAUAACAAAGUGUUCAUUUAAUUGUGCAUGCAGAAACCUGAACAAGAAUCUGACGAAGGGAAGAAUGAAUUCUGGCCUCCAAAGGUAAUUUGUUGACCUAAUAAUCAAUACAAUUAAGUGGUGAGAUGUCAUUAGGCAACAAUGAAACAAUCCCUCCUAAGUAAACCAUUUUAUGCAUAACUUUUAAAAGUUUGUGUUGGAACACUCUCUAACCUUCAUUCUCAACUUUCAGAUUAUCUAGGUACUUAGGGAUGCAUUUGAUGUGCACUUAAAAAAAGGGAAAGGAUUGCAAAUAGAAAUUUUAGUACUGCUGUAGUGGCCAUUGUCACAUACCAGUGAAAACCAAAACUUUACUUGACUUCAUACGCAUCCUGCAAUUUAGACACCUUGCCAUUAAAGCGAUGUCAUGAGUUAGAAAAGUUACCCUGAAAAAUAGAAAUUCUAGUCAAAUUGCAUCAUCUUGACAUUAGUCAUACAAAUUCAGUGAAAGCAAUGCCCUUUGGAAUUGGUACACUAACCAAUCUUUAAAAACUGUCUAAUUUUGUUUUAGGUGAAGGUGGCGGAUAUCCGAUAUGAGAGAUGAAGAAUUUGUCGAAUCUCAAGGGUGAGAUUUCUAUUUCAAGAUCAGGGAACAUUGUUAAAGCUCAAGAUGCAUGGGAAGCUAAGCUGAUUGAUGCUCAGGCCUCAAUGAGUUAGAGGUGGAGUUCAACUUUUGAUAACAAUGCAAGAAAUAAAGAAGUUGAAGAAGUGGUUUUCAACUAGUUGAAUUAUGGCUGUCUUGGCUGCAUUGCUGCCACAGGGGAUUACUUCUACACAUUUGGAAACCAGCUUGGUUGGAUUCAGGGUCAGUUUACUUUCUGCUUACCAUAUGUUUGAUUAUUUUCCUUUGGUCAUUUGUGCGCUUGCUUAGUUUGUGUUUCUUAGUUAUGUUUGACUUUUUUAAUCUUUCACCAUACCUUAUAAUGACAGUUUAUGCCACAUUAGUUGAAAUAUUUUAUGUUUAGUUUAUUUUUAAAAGCAAUGUAUCAGAUGGUGGGAGCAGUUGAAGAUAUUUUUGGUCACUGUCCUGAUUAUAUAAAUAUGUAUUCUCUUAAUGAAAAGUGAUGUAUGAAGAGUUAAAGUUCUGGCAUUUUUUGAGUUUUGUUUUUCUUCUUUGUUUUCCAGCAAAAUUUGGUCUCUUCAUCGAGAGUUUAGUCUGCAGAUCUUUAAGUUUUUUUUCUAUCCAACAGAAACCAAAGAUAACAUUUCUUUUAUCUCUGUCUGCCCAUACUCCAUACCAAGGAUAACACUUGUUUUUCUCUGUCUGUCCACACAAAACCAAGAAUAACACCUCAUUUUCUUGGUACAAAAUCUUCCAAAAUUUACAGCAGCAGAAACUAAAGUUUUUGCUUCUACCUUCUGCUGCUUCUCCUUGGGUAGCCUUGGACAAGUAAUGUGAGUAGCCACUAAAGCCAAGAGAACUUUCUUGCUCGUCAUAAAGAGCUAAAAGCUCACCGUAAAAAAUUAUGGGACUACCAAAUUUCCAACUUGGAUAGUAGAUUCUUCAUUACAAAAUUUGUUGUCCUUGAAUCUCUUGCAUUGUAAAAUUGCAGAUCAUAGCAGCAAUUGGAAAAUUAUCACUGUCGGAAUGUCUUUGCUUUGAAGGAAUGGCUGGGGUGAAUAACGUUGGUGUUGAGGUCUACGGAGAUAAUCAAUCAGAUGCAUUUUCAACAUUAGGAAGUUAGAGCUUUGUGAAUCUGCCAGAAUGGAAGGAAUGAGGCUUCUGUGCAGUUGAUGAUCUGGUUGUGAAAUUCCCCAAUGUCUGCAUUCUUUCUAUCAUUAACUGCCUCAAUUGUCAGGAAGGUUGUCUAACUGUCUUGAUGUCCUAAAACUACUUGAAAUUCGCAGGUGCCUGCCGUUGGUUAUUUCAAUUUCUCAGUUUCCAAUGCUGGUGUUAUUAGAUGUAGGUUGGUGUCAAGAGUUGGUGCUCAGAGGUUAUGUUAACAUUAAAUCAAUGGAUAUAGUCAAUCUUUCAAAUAUUUUAAAAUUUUGUACUCUGGCAGAGAGGCCGAUGUCAGGAUUUACAAAUUUGGAAUGUUGGAUGAUUGAUAGUUGCAAGGAACGUACAUGUCUAACAUAAAAGGAAUUGGGAUCACUUGGGAGCCGAAUGUCUCUCACUUGGCUCAGAAUUUUGAAUUGUUCACAACUUUUACUUGUGUCAUUACAGCCAGAGGAAGCAGAAGAGGAACAUUUGCAACUUGACAGGAUUUGCAAGUUUGAAUGUCCAACUAUUAUGAAAUGUGAACUUCAAAGGCUACCAAAGGUCUUGCAUUUGGUCACGUUCUUUGCAGAUAUACAGAUUGCUAGUGGCAAAAGAAUGGUUUCUGUUUUAAAGAAUAACCUGCCUUCAACUUGAAGAAGAUUGAGGAUUAAAGAUUGCAAGAAUUUAUAAUGUUUGGUGGAUGAAGAAGAAGAUACUAGCACAACUUCACCUCACUUAAGGCAGUGAUGUUUGUUGGCUAUUCAGCUAACAUAUCCUUUCCAAAAAAGGAUUUCCCUACCAACCUAACAUCACUUAACAAUGGAGCACCAAUAUUUGUAGGUCACUACUUCAAUGGGGAUUACAUAGACUCAGCUCUUUCAAAAAAACUGUUCAUUAAUGGUGAAGAAUGUUAAGAUGUGGUGUUGUUUCUGCAAGAGGAGAUAGGAAUGAUGCUGCCUUCCCCUCUCAGCGAUGUCACAAUAAGUGACUUCAAAAACCUGAAAUUGCUAUCCUCCGAGGGCUUUCAAAACCUCACGUCUCUUCAGUCUUUAGAGAUCAGUGAUUGCUCUAAGCUCACAUCCCUUCUAGAAAAAGACAUGCUUCUCUCGCUUUGCCAUCUUCAGAUUGAUGAUUGUCCUUUGCUAGAAGAACGGUGCAAAAGGGAUAAAGGACAUUCCUUAUGUCCAAAUCAAUAAGGAACAAAAUUAUCCCAAAGAAGUUGAAAUCUUGAAAUUGAAAGUCAAAAGGUGUUAACCAUUUGAAAGAUAAGCCAGAUAAUUGAAUUCUGAUUAUUUAUGCAUUUAAUUUUUUUAGAUAUAUAAAGAUAAUAGUAUUUUUAAUAUGUUAUUGUUGAUAAUUAAUUUACAGCCACAUUUGAGGCUUGAAAGCAACAAAGUGCGGUUGGUAUAUAUAGCUCUAUUGAAAGAUCAGGUACAAGCUUCUCAUUUUUUUCCAUUUCACUUGCACUUCAACAUAGCAUGCUCAACAAUCUGCAACAUUUAACCAUAAAAACACUUAUGCUCCUCUAACUUCAGGUAUCUCUAAACAGCUCUGGGUGUGAAUUUGUUGAUUCGUCAUGUUGACUUAUGAAACUGAUUAAAAAGAUCAAGGAUGAAAGGUGAGUUGAUUUUCCUCUGCUUUUAUAUGUCAUGUACAUUGAAGAAUUGAAAAGCAAUUAUUAAAAUAUAUACGCAGUUUCAUGGACAAAAUUGUGUUUUAAUUUUUGAAAAGUUAUAUAUAUACUUACCUUGUGAAAGCGCUAGUUGUUCAUACAGAAGCAUAAUUGUUUUGAUUUCAGGAGAUUGCUCCUUUGUUAAAGAAAAUUUAAGUCUCUCUCUCCUUUUCUAUGUUAUCAAUUUUCUCUGCAAGUGAUUACUUUAAACCAUGCCAAUUAUGCUUCCCUUGAGUAUGUUGAACAGUGAAUUACUUUCGUUUCCUUUAGUUUUUUAAUGUUCAUGUUUAGUUCUUUGCUUUCUGAGUUUAUUGAGAGAAUGUAGAGGAAGAGAAUAAAUUUCAUCGAUAAAAUUCUAAUUUUGUGUUGGAUAUUCCAUCUCAGAGGAGUGUGUCCCCGCCAACUAAAUGUUACUUCGGAUCUCUGCUGCUAAAAUCUGUAUACCAUUAUCGCAUUGGGGAGUGCACAUACAAAUCUGUUGUGGACUUUCCCAUUGGUGGUAAUGAUGCCGCCGGCCACCUUUCAAACUUUCCUUGUCAUCAAGAAGUCCCCUAAUUUGGAAUACCAGCACUGCAAGAGCUUUCAGAACCUCUCUUGCUCAAAGGUUUUUAUACUUAAUUGCCUUAAUCUAUAAAAAGGGAAUUAAAGAUGAAGUGGUUAAAAGAUAGCUCCUGUGCCUCAUGUAUUAAUAACAGAUUACUUAUAAGCCAAAAGAGGAGCAGUGAAAACUAGUUGUUUUUCAUAGAAAAGGAGCAAAAAAAGCAGAAUAUACCAUGCUUGUAAUUCAAUCCUAGGUAUGUCAAUGGGAAAAUCCUCUCUUCUUUUCCUCUUUGAACAAUUAUUUAAAACUUGUAUGAUCACCAAGUUUGAUAUACUUGUACAUACAGAAGUCUGAACAUGAUUAUGAAACACCAGGGAUGAAUUCAACCUCCAGUUCUAAUAUAUCGGCCAUAAAAUCAAUGCAAUGCAGAGGUGAGCUUUUAUAUAUUGGACUAUGUUAAGAUAACAUGCCUCACCAAUGGAAACAAUCCCUCCUUCUAAAUGAUUUAUGCAUGUAUAAUUCUAUUUUCGUAUUGAAUUUCCAUUAGCAGUCACAUAAUAAUGUUUCCACACCCACCGAAUAUUACUUAUUAGGCACAGAAGGGAAACGGUGAGAAUCAGAGAAAAUACCAUGCUUGUAGAUAAAUGGUAUGUCAAUUGGAAAAUACUCCCUUUUGUUUUACACUUCGAUAAUAAUUAAUUAAAGUUUUUAUGCUAACCAAGUUUUAGUCUAGUUGUACAUGCAGAAAUUUGAGCAUCAGUAGGCACCAAGGAUGAAAUUUAACCUCCAGUUGUAAUCUUUUGACUAUAUAAUCAAUUCAAAGAAGAGGUAAGCUUUAUAAGGCUACCUUAAGAUAAUAUGCCUGAGCAAGGAACAUCCCUUAUGCUAAAUAACCUUAUGCGUAUCUUUGGAGCUAUUAGUUACUCAUCUUCAUUCUCAAUAGUGUGACCCUCAUUUGCAAUAGGUUUAAGUAGAUGAUCUCUUAUUGAAAUUACAUUGCAUUUCUCAAGUAAUGUGUAGAAUUAUUUUUUCACACAACAGUUGUACAACUUGGCACACUGAGAUUCAAAGAGCUUAUGUAACAGCUUGCAUGGCUCUUUAUGCCAAGCUUUUUCUGCUUCUAAUAUUACACAUUUACGAUAUCCUGCAUGCUGGUUUUUCAGCCUUCAGCACUAAUCUCUCUAUGUCAAUCCCAGUGAAUCUUAAAUGCCUCCAAAUGAGGUAACAAGUGUCACUAGUGGCCGCACCAAUGUUAACAUACAUUAUUGCGACAUGUCAUCACCAAAGGAGCGAUCCAUGUCAUUGAGAGUCAAGAUUAUCUUUUCUAACACUAUGAAUCAGUUGGGUAAGAGCAACUUCUUAAAAAUUUGCUCUUCAUUUAUCAUUUCUCUUUUGCAAAGAAACUUCUUCAAUUUCAUCAGUAGUAUUAUCACCGAUAGAUUCAUACUAAUCCCCUAUAAAUUUUAUAGAUAGACUUUGUAAUGUGCCAUAAACUAGUUGAGCUUCAGUUUUCUUUUUCUUUUUCAUGAUUAUGCUAUAAAAAGUUUGUAUACUAUGGUAUUGGAACCUAAGGAUUAAUUUUCUUGUGCUUUUGAAUUGAGAUUAUGAGAUGUAUAAUAGAUUCAAGCUCAAUGUUAAUCUCUUUUUCCUAGUCUUCGUCCUUUCUCCAUUAUCUUCUUCUUUGGCAAAUAAAGAGAUCCAACAAAUUUCAAUGCAGGAAAUAAACUGAAUUUUUAUGGCUAUCAUCUGAUGGAUGUUAAGCCAUAAGCUUCCAUGCAUUGCAGCAUGAUCAGGCCUUACAUCUUGUUUUGUCACUGAUAGCAAUCUAACUUCUCUGUCACUGGGCUGUGGCCAUGCUUAAAAUUUCUGCAGAUCAAAACACUUAUUUCCUUUUAUUGGAUAUGUAUAGUGCAUGCCUUCAUUUUGUAUAAUCAGUAAUGUUCUUUGGCUUUUCAGAAGGUGCUUGUCUGUGUCAUCCCUGUGCCAAAAAGGAGUGUUACAAUGGUAGAAGAUAGUUUUGAUGCAAGAUGUUCUACAAAUGUUUUACCUCUGUUGGUGCCUCAUCCGUAGUCCCACGUAAGUCUCAUGAAUGGCUGGGAAUAGCUAGGUUAUUUUAUUGUUUUUUUACUAGAAUGGCAACAUGAUGUCAUUGCCUUGCCCCUGAGGGUUCCACAUUCUGAAGCCCUCCCUUCAUGAAACUUCAUGCAAAGUAUCACUGGUGCAUAAAAGAUAUUAAAAAUAUUAUAAAUGUUUGUGUAAAUUGUUUGACCAGGUGUCACAACCAAAGAAGCUGAACAUCAAGUUUCCAACUAGUUAGUGUCAAUUUUUUUAUAUUGCUAGUUAUUCUGUUUUUUCUUCUUGGUAUGUUAUAUACAUUCAUUAAUAUUGGGAAUUUGGACCUAUGCAUUCUUUCAACCUGAUAUUUUACUGUAAAAGAAAUGCCAAUAUUGUACAAAGAAAAUAGGAUUAAGUUUAUAUCAUGAGCAUGGAUAACGGAUGUGGGCGUGAUAACUUGUCAAGUCACCAUUAUAAAAUUCUUGAAAGCAUUGUGAUUUGCGACCAUGCUGCCAUUGUUGGCAUUUUUGUUACUGUGGAUUAUGGUGAUGAUUAAACUCAUAAUUAUGGCAAUUUUUUCUAACAGGGUGCUCGUUAUCCAUCAUUUUAUGAAGCAAUUGAUGGUUUGUGCAACAGCUACUGAGGCAAGAGUAAAGUAGAAUGGAUUGUUGUGACAAAUUAUGACCUGGCAUUACCAUGAAGUUUUCUACGGCACUAAUUCAUGGGAUAUAAAAGGCUGAUGAAGUCUCUAGGUCACUUGUACCUACUUUCCCUACAUUAUUUUUGUUAUACAUUCUUUUAGGGAAAUGAAAAGGGGGGUAAGAGGGGGGAUGCUAAUUGGUAUGUCAAUAAAGUUUUUCACUGUUUGCUAAAGGAUACUUAUUUGUAUUCAGGUGAUGUGUCCUAACCAGGUAAUGGUUAUGCAAUCAGGGAGCUAAUCUCUAGGAUCAAAACACAGAAAUUCUAUUAUAGCCUCCUGGUGAGAUUUUGGCUUUGCUAUAUGAUUUUUACUUCAUCGUUUCAUAUAAUAGUUCACACAUAUCUGUCUUAUUUCUAAAGCAUAUCUCCAAUUAUAUUUACUUGCAUCUAGUUGAUGUCAGCAGAAUUUUAGAACUCAUCUUGAGUUUCAAAAAUGUACUAGUUUUAACUAUGUCUGACCAUAUACAAUAAAUAAUGAGAUAGCAUACUAGGGGAUUCUGGGAAGAGUGAAGUAUACUUUAGAUAUAUUUAUUAUUGUUGUCAUCAAAUGUCUGAAAAUAUUUGAAUUUUUCACUUUUUGUUUAUAGCUCCUGAGAAAAGGAAAUGAGUGCCAAUAGUAAAAUCACCACAUAUUUGCAGAACCUGAGGUCUCCCAAUUGGGAAGGUGGGCAACACCUCACUUCAGUUCCCUUUCUAUAUAUAACUGUUAAUUAAAUUUUAAUUUUAAUACUUGAAAAUGCAGAAUGAUAAGAAGUUAUUAACCUUUCUUGGGAAGUAGAUUGAAUUCUGCUUUGGGUAUGUAGGUAUCAUUUGUGUGCUUUUUGCUGCCACUGCCACCACUGCUGCUGCUACUUUCCCUUUUUUUCUUAGGUUACUCAGGUCUCUCUUAUUUUGCUAUGUACUGUAAUUGUACGUAAUCGAUGCAUUACAUCAUAAGUCCGGGAAGAGUCAUGUCUAAAAUGUAACCACAAGAAUAUUUUGGUGAUGGCAGGUUCAGAUACUCAGGUUCAAAUUUCAAUUUUCUUGCAGUUCUGGUGCAAGUUACUUUCUCCGAUGAUGCUAUUCUGGUCUCAUCCCCUCAGCAUAAGAUUCCUUUUGCAAUGCUUGUGGGCUUUUUCUGGAUUACUCUGGUGGUUUGCAUCCUAUUCUACUGCUUCUCCAUUGCUAGUAAGAUAAGAGGCUGGCUUUAAUGCGAAAAGGAGGUGGGUGGAUGAGAUUAUUUUUCUUUGUAGGCUUUGUUCUCUGCAUUGGCGUAGAGCUUUGGCUGAUGGCAUCUUGUUUUCGGACUAAGAUUCUGUGACUUGCUCCCCUUCCUUCUCCAGCAACAUCUCUGGGGACCUGCUGGCUGCGGUUGAGUGUUAAGAAAAUCCUCUGGCUCUAUUCUAGCUUUGUUUUCUGGCCAAAUUGGUGUGUUAGACUAAUAUUGCUGAAAUAUAAUACUAUAUU